rnacentral:snoRNA from 1 species
GUUUUGUUUUGAAUCCAUUCAGCCACAGGUUAUGCGUUCAUCAAAGCAAGCUUACUGCAGCGGUGGCAGUGAGACCUGUAAGGUUU